rnacentral:tRNA from 1 species
GGGCCUGUAGCUCAGCGGUUAGAGCAGCCGGCUCAUAACCGGUCGGUCGCAGGUUCGAACCCUGCCAGGCCCA